ACCACACACGCACACAAAACACACCAGAGCUUGGAGUUCAAACAGAAAAUAGGAAGCUCAGAUAUUUCUCCGCUGGAACAGGUGGAAAGGGGAAGUGGAAAAACUGCAUAUGGUGAUUAAGUGAAAGCUGCUGUCCAAACUCCAUGGUUUUCAACUUUAAAAAUUCGUUCCUCGGUGCCUCUUGUUCUUGCAGCCACCACACCGAGCAGACUGAAGUAGGUACCCAAGCUCCAUCCAGCCGUUCGAAUUGCUGGCAUCUGCUCUGUAAUAUGCAGCUUUUAAAUAUGAUAAUAAGCAAUUAGGCAGGCAUUUAUGAACAUGGAGAAUGGAAGAUUUGUACAUAAUGCAAGAUUUUCUGCUGAAUGCACCGAUAGAUACUACGGGGAUAAUAACAGGCCAGGUACCUGAAUCUCCAAACGUUUCAAAAUGCAGCAAAAAAUGAGAGGUCAUUGAGUUAAGUAAAUUAUCAGCCACUAUUUGAUUGCCCAGUAGUUAACAGGAAGCACAGUGAUGUUUAUUCACCUCUCCAGAUUUAUAUGAAUGUCAACAA
rnacentral:lncRNA from 1 species